UUUUGCAGGAGAACCACUACUUGUGUGGUUUGCUUGAAGAGUGUCACUCCUGUGAAGUGUGUGAAGUUUCCAAAAUGUGCAGCUGUGUUUUGUGGAGAGGCCAGCAGAUGGCACAGGAAUUCAUACGAGAGAAUUUCCGACUGUCUAGAAGAUGCAUCCUCCUCAUCAGAGGGCACAGUGCAGUGCUUGCAUGGCUCUCUGUCUUGUCUGCAGCCAAAAGCAAGCUGAAGAAGAGGAAUAUCUCCAACAUCUCCCUAUGCCCAAUCUGUGGAUGUUGUCUGCACAAGGCUUUUGGUGAUGGAGGGAAAACCAAGGAGACUGGAACAAGAUGUCACUGGCUGCUAUGCACCAGCUGAAAGUCAAAACCUUCUAGACAAACCCCCAGGAGUUUCAACGCCUGACACAACCCGCUGAGGAGCUUUGCGUCACAAAGUCUCUACUAGGUUAUAAGAACUACAGAUAGGACAGACUGAGAAAGCAUGUAAUAACCAGCUGAGUAGUCGAGAUCUCUGCGGAUGUAGCUAUCUUCUGAACAUUGUGAUUGUGCAGUGAAA